ACCGAACCGACUACCGUUGAAAAGUUAGCGGAUGACCUGUGGAUCGGAGUGAAAGGCUAAUCAAGCUCGGAGAUAGCUGGUUCUCCUCGAAAGCUAUUUAGGUAGCGCCUCAUGUAUCACUGUAGGGGGUAGAGCACUGUUUCGGCUAGGGGGUCAUCCCGACUUACCAACCCUUUGCAAACUCCGAAUACCGAUGAGUGCUAUCCGGGAGACACACGGCGGGUGCUAACGUCCGUCGUG
rnacentral:rRNA from 1 species